CUUAAUGUUUUCACACACCAGAAUCUGAGAGCCAUUGCCAUUCUGUCAUCUAGUAAAUGACUAUUGAUACAGUGGCUUGAUUAUGCCAUGUGCAGUCCUGACACUAGCAGACAAGAACUAAAAAUGAUACAACCUGUCACAGAUAAACUAAAAUACAAUGGUGAGAAAGGUACAGCUUUGUGCCUUAGUUUCUUUUGUUGUUUUAGUUUUUCUGUAGGGGAAUGCUGUUCCUACAGGAAGUGUGUUCAGAAAUCUAUCCUGUCAAGAGAUGAAAACUGGGUAAUACUCAUAGUUCACUGAGAAUUUGUCUUUCUACUUGAUUUCUUUCCAUUUGCCUGCAAAUUUUAGGAUGUCAUUGUUGCUUACUGAGUCCUCACCCACUGGCUGAUGGAAGCAGAGGCAGACACCCACAGCUAAACACUGAACUGAACUCUGGAACCCAGUUGCAGAGAGGGAGGAGUGAAGAUCAAAGAGGUCGGGACCAGAAACAACAGAAAGCGGGACUUUCCUGCAACAUCCCAUGCAACAUCUCAUGUAGGACAGUUCAGAAGUUAUUACUUGUAUGAAUAUGGGUGAUGGAAAACAGCUGCAUUAUUGAAAAGACCUGCUAGAUCUUGG
rnacentral:lncRNA from 1 species